rnacentral:rRNA from 1 species
AGUGAACGCUGGCGGUAGGCCUAACACAUGCAAGUCAAAAGAGUGGCGGACGGGUGAGGAAUACAUCGGAAUCUACUCUGUCGUGGGGGAUAACGUAGGGAAACUUACGCUAAUACCGCAUACGAUUGAAUGAGCCGAUGUCGGAUUAGCUAGUUGGCGGGGUAAAGGCCCACCAAGGCGACGAUCCGUAGCGGGUCUGAGAGGGUGAUCAGCAACAGUGAAACAGGGACACGGUCCACCAUCCCCCGGGAGGCCAGAGCGGGGAAUAUUGGACAAUGGAGGCACUCCUGCUCCAGCCAUACCGCGUGGAUGAAGAAGGCCUGCGGGUUGUACAGCCCUUUUGUUGGGAAAGCGGUACCCAAGGAAUAAGCACCGGCUAACUUCGUGCCAGCAGCCGCGGUAAUAC